AGAGUUUGAUCAUGGCUCAGAUUGAACGCUGGCGGCAGGCUUAACACAUGCAAGUCGAACGGUAACAGGGAGGAGCUUGCUUCUUUGCUGACGAGUGGCGGACGGGUGAGUAAUACUUGGGAAUCUGGCUUAUGGAGGGGGAUAACUACGGGAAACUGUAGCUAAUACCGCGUAAUAUCUUCGGAUUAAAGGGUGGGACUUUCGGGCCACCUGCCAUAAGAUGAGCCCAAGUGGGAUUAGGUAGUUGGUGGGGUAAAGGCCUACCAAGCCGACGAUCUCUAGCUGGUCUGGGAGGAUGACCAGCCACACUGGAACUGAGACACGGUCCAGACUCCUACGGGAGGCAGCAGUGGGGAAUAUUGCACAAUGGGGGGAACCCUGAUGCAGCCAUGCCGCGUGAAUGAAGAAGGCCUUCGGGUUGUAAAGUUCUUUCGGUGAUGAGGAAGGUGUUUGUUUUAAUAGAGCAAGCAAUUGACGUUAGUCACAGAAGAAGCACCGGCUAACUCCGUGCCAGCAGCCGCGGUAAUACGGAGGGUGCGAGCGUUAAUCGGAAUGACUGGGCGUAAAGGGCACGCAGGCGGUGACUUAAGUGAGAUGUGAAAGCCCCGAGCUUAACUUGGGAAUUGCAUUUCAUACUGGGUCGCUAGAGUAUUUUAGGGAGGGGUAGAAUUCCACGUGUAGCGGUGAAAUGCGUAGAGAUGUGGAGGAAUACCGAAGGCGAAGGCAGCCCCUUGGGAAUAUACUGACGCUCAUGUGCGAAAGCGUGGGGAGCAAACAGGAUUAGAUACCCUGGUAGUCCACGCUGUAAACGCUGUCGAUUUGGGGAUUGGGCUUAGAGCUUGGUGCCCGUAGCU
rnacentral:rRNA from 1 species